rnacentral:rRNA from 1 species
ACGGGGUGCAGCAGGCGCGAAACCUUUACACUGCACGCCAGUGCGAUAAGGGAACCCCGAGUGAAAGGGCAUAUCGCCCUUUCUUUUCUGAACCGUAGGGAGGUUCAGGAACAAGAGCUGGGCAAGACCGGUGCCAGCCGCCGCGGUAAUACCGGCAGCACGAGUGAUGGCCGAUAUUAUUGGGCCUAAAGCGUCCGUAGCUUGCUGUGUAAGUCCAUUGGGAAAUCGACGCGCUCAACGCGUCGGCGUCCGGUGGAAACUACACGGCUUGGGGCCGAGAGACUCGACGGGUACGUCCGGGGUAGGAGUGAAAUCCUGUAAUCCUGGACGGACCACCAAUGGGGAAACCACGUCGAGAGACCGGACCCGACAGUGAGGGACGAAAGCCAGGGUCUCGAACCGGAUUAGAUACCCGGGUAGUCCUGGCCGUAAACAAUGCUCGCUAGGUAUGUCACGCGCCAUGAGCACGUGAUGUGCCGUAGUGAAGACGAUAAGCGAGCCGCCUGGGAAGUACGUCCGCAAGGAUGAAACUUAAAGGAAUUGGCGGGGGAGCAC